rnacentral:rRNA from 1 species
AUCGGAAGGAACACCAGUGGCGAAGGCGGCUACCUGGCCUAAUACUGACACUGAGGCACGAAAGCGUGCGGAGCAAACAGGAUUAGAUACCCUGGUAGUCCACGCUGUAAACGAUGUCAACUAGCUGUUGGCCUUAUGAAUGAGCGUUAGUGGCGCAGCAAACGCGAUAAGUUGACCGCCUGGGGAGUACGGUCGCAAGAUUAAAACUCAAAGGAAUUGACCGGGGGCCCGCACAAGCGGUGGAGCAUGUGGUUUAAUUUGAUGCAACGCGAAGAACCUUACCUACCCUUGACAUACAGUGAAUUUUGCAGAGAUGCGGAAAUGCCUUCGGGAACACUGCUACAGGUGCUGCAUGGCUGUCGUCAGCUCGUGUCGUGAGAUGUUGGGUUAAGUCCCGUAACGAGCGCAACCCUUAUCCUUAGUUACCAGUGCGUAAAGGCGGGAACUCUAAGGAGACUGCCGGUGACAAACCGGAGGAAGGCGGGGACGACGUCAAGUCAUCAUGGCCCUUUCGGGUAGGGCUACACGCGUGGUACAAUGGCCGGUUCAGAGGGCAGCGAAGGGGCGACCUGGAGCCAAUCUUAGAAAGCUGGUCGUAGUCCGAGAUUGGAGUCUGCAAC